rnacentral:rRNA from 1 species
GGCAGGCUACCCAUGCAUUACGAGCGAGAAGCUAACUUCGGUUAGCUGGACAGCGGCGCACGGGUGAGUAACGCGUGUGGAAUUUACCUUUCGGCGGGGGACAACAGUUGGAAACGACUGCUAAUACCGCACACGCCCUACGGGGUGAAAGAUUUAUCACCGGAAAGAUAGGCCCGACGUUAGAUUAGGUAGUUGGUAGGGUCAAAGCCUACCAAGCCGACGAUCUAUAGCUGGUUUGAGAGAACGACUCAGCCACACUGGAACUGAGACACGGUCCAGACUCCUACGGGAGGCAGCAGUGGGGAAUCUUGCACAAUGGGCGAAAGCCUGAUGCAGCCAUGCCGCCGUGAGUGCUAAGGCCUUC